UAAUUGCUGUCACCCAGGUAAAGCUGGAUUGUUUCUUCCAUGGUAAAUUCUCUCCCACACAACCCUUUGACCUUCAGGCAGUGAGAGCAGCAGGGUUUCUCAUCUCAUGAUUUAACUGAAGAAAAUAACUACUUGAAGAGGAAGUGCUUUGAAAUAAACAAUGUCUCUGAAUUAGAAAACUAAACAACUGGUUUUUUACCACAAACAGGGACUCCUGGGAAUAUUUGCCUGGAAUUAACAAAAGAUGCAACAUUUGAAUAACUAAGCUUCUGGGGGAAAAAAACCAAUCUGAUAUUAAUUGAGAAGUGCACUGAAUAAGCAGCCUUCAUAAAACUCACGGACAAAACUCCGUAUUGAGUCGACUACAUCAAAGACAGUCUGCGAUGAGGUUAGUGCAUUUGUUAAAGUCCUGGAUGCAUCCUUUGAAGGUGAGUUAUUGCAAAUGGUGUCAUUGUGGAAAAGGGACAAUUAACUUGGAUGAUCAGUGGGUGGUGACUAUUGCCAUCGCUGCAUAGUUUGGAUUUACACACAGCAAGGGUCAAACACUUCACACCCUUCAUUGCAGAAAUGAACCGUGUAGAGGACUCAGUGGCCUAAAACACAGCACAGGCCUACAUUUUUCUAUCUGUCAAAAGAUUUCAGAAGUAAUUCAUUGUUACAGCUCCCUGGAGUGAGAGUCUGCUUGUCCAUCUGAUUUUCCUGACUGAGCGCUUUAAACAUUCUCUGAGGAGAAAACUGUUGUAGUCUUGUUUCCAAAGCAUAAUAGUAAAGACGGGAAGUGUGAAACCAUUUGGAAUCCUUCUUUCCUGCUGUCAUAUUUUAUCACUACUCGUGUGUUACGUUCAUGAGCAUCUCUUGAUUGCAGGCCUCAGAGCUAAUAUCAUUUCAGGACGCUGGCUGGUGCCCCUCUGAAGGAUCUCUGGAUUUCAGAAAUCAGAUAUUUCACAUAAAGUUAAAAAAAUGCCUC